AUCACCAAACCAUAGCCAUCGGGACUUCUGAAGUGCAAAAACUUCAGCCCUAACGGAGCUCGGUUUCCGAGAAACAUAUACUACCAAUCCCCAUCUAGGUCGAGAUGUCUUCUGUGUCAGGGAGCUCAUCCCGCGGCGGCGACGACGCGGCGUGGAGCGCCAAGGAGAACAAGCUGUUCGAGGAGGCACUCGCCUACCACGGCGAGGGCACGCCCGACCGCUGGCUCAAGGUGUCUCGUGCCAUGGGCGGGACCAAGACGGCGGACGAGGUGCGCCGCCACUACGAGAUCCUCCUGGACGACAUCAAGCUCAUCGAGUCCGGCAUGGUCUCGUUCCCCAAGUACAAGGACAACACCCAGGGGCCUUGGAACUGAUUCCUCAUGGAGCGAAGCAUCUGAAUUCCGAAGAUCUGGCAAUCAGGAGAACCUGUUGAUAAUCUAGUCCUUAGCUGGGACCAUGUUACUGAAGCAAUAAAAAGAAGAAAACAUGUGUGUUUGUGUUUGUGUUUGUGUGUGUAAUUUUAGGUUUGUGAGCAAAUCAAGUGCGCCUAGUCUUGCAGACAGUAGCAUGUAAUCUUCAUUGCCUAUACUUAGUUUUUACUCCUCC